ensembl:lncRNA
UUCACUAUAUAUGUGUGUGUGCGCGCAGGCCAGACAGACAGACAGAGAGACGGUAUAUGGACAGCACACCAAAACAUUUUAUUUUUUUUUAAAUGCAUGAUAUAUAAUAUCGGAAUAUUUCUUACCCCACUCUGGGCUAACUACAAAUGUACACUUAGGACAGAAUACCCCUUCUGGAAAAUUGCCGUUCCCGAGUUUGGACACACGAGGGCAGUCACGCUCCAUCCAGCACAACGCCGCCUGAAACAGAAGGAGGUCGCAGCCCCGGAGUCCCAGCCCGAGGUUAACGUGGCAACCUCGGAGCCUCUGCCUGAGGUCAACAGGGCGACCUCAGAGCUCCAGUUGGAGACCCACGGGGAGGUCUCUCCCACCGAGGAAGCUGUCCCGCUGCCCUGUCCUGCUGAGGAAGCUGUUCCGCUGUCCUUUUCUGCUGAGGAAGCUGUCCUGCUGCCCUGUCCUGCUGAGGAAGCUGUCCCGCUGCCCUGUCCUGCUGAGGAAGCUGUCCCACUGCCCUGUCCUGCUGAGAAAGCUGUUCCGCUGGGGAUGUCGCCCAGCGUUCCAGCCCUGCUGGGGAUGUCGCUCAGCGUUCCAGCCCCACAGGGGGUGUCACCCCGAGUUUCAACCCCACUGGGGGUGGUGCUCCCCCUGUCUGCUGCCCGGCGAAGGCCGCUUUGUUUUCCGAUGCAUCGAGAGACAGCUCAUACAGGGGCCCGGGACUGCCGUUGGAGGUGGGUACUGUUAUGCUCCCGCCGGCAGAUGGCACUGCAGCGUCGACAUGCCCACGCGGCUGUAGAGAGCGCGCGUGCACGAGACCGAACGUGGCAUACGGACACGUGUCUUUGUUUUGGUUUGGUCCUCCUUCUGUUUAAGCAUUGGUUGAUGUUCGAGGGUGUGUCUUGAUUUACUCCAGGUGUCUGUGUUUUAGUUUGAUUGUGUUUGUUAUUUAAACCCCUUGUGUUGCUGUGCACUUCGCAGUAUUAAAUGAGUAUUUGAACCUCUGAGUGUAAUGUAUAGACUGCGUUUCCUGUGUUUUGUCUGCUGUGUAAAAAUAAAGACGCUGAUCUGCACCUGCUUCUGCUUCCACCUCCCGGUCCGUAAUAGUUACUAUGCAGCAUAAGAUAUUAAUUAAGAUACCUUGGUGAUUUAAUUAAAA